UACGGAGGGGGCUAGCGUUGUUCGGAGUCACUGGGCGUAAAGCGCACGUAGGCGGUUUUGCAAGUUGGGCGUGAAAGCCCGGGGCUCAACCCCGGAGGUGCGCCCAAGACUGCGGAACUGGAGACCGGGAGAGGGUGGUGGAAUUCCCAGUGUAGAGGUGAAAUUCGUAGAUAUUGGGAAGAACACCGGUGGCGAAGGCGACCACCUGGCCCGGAACUGACGCUGAGGUGCGAAAGCGUGGGGAGCAAACAGG
rnacentral:misc_RNA from 1 species